rnacentral:rRNA from 1 species
GACAGAGGCCUCGAGCGUUAGGCGGAAUCACUGGGCUUAAAGCGUGUGUAGGCGGGCCCGUAAGUGUCUUGUGAAAUCCCACGGCUCAACCGUGGAACUGCUGGGCAUACUGCGGGUCUUGGGCCAACUAGGGGCAGCCGGAACAAGCGGUGGAGCGGUGAAAUGCGUAGAGAUCCGGAGGAACACCGAAGGCGAAGGCAGUCUCCUGGCAAGUUACUGACGCUCAGGUGCGAAAGCUAGGGGAGCGAACAGG